GUUCUUCCGGCCCUGCACCUCCACCACGGCGUCCUGCACAGGGUUCCCGUUUCCGUCAAACACCUGCCCUUUAACACCUGACGGAGAGGACACAUGAGUCCAUGAAGCUGGCUGCACUGACGGGCUCACCCACCGGGCAGUUUGUACCACUGGUAGCCGUUGGUGAUGCCAUGGGGGAAGUUGGAGUCGGAGCAGGCGUUGCCGCGGUGCAUCUGCGUGUGGCUGUAGGAGUACGUCUUUGCUAGGUGGACAAAGACGUCGUUGUCGGGGGAGACACUUGCACCCUCCUGUAGUUCGCUUCCUGUUUCAGGGAUAGCUGGCCACAACGGCCCCUCCGUGCAGGUUGGCCGACAGUGCGAACCUCUCCUGCUUCAUCCAGUCCAUGAUGGCCAGCACUUCAAACUCGCGACUCUCCUCAUCCUCUCCCAGAAAGAAGUCCGGAAAGUUCCGGUUGAGGUCCACGCCAUUUCUGUUGUACCUGCGGAGAGGGUCAGCAAAGCAAACCGAGUUCCUGCACCCCUUUUGGGGGCCACUGGAAACGAUCCCCAUAAUCCAAUAACUGGAGCAACUGCUGCAAGAACACGUCUUUCUCCUCCCUUACACUCUCUCCCUCACUUAGCUUUUACUCUCUCUCUCUCUCUCUCUCUCUCUCUCUCCCUCACUUAGCUUUUACUCCCUCUCUCUCUCUCUCUCUCUCUCUCUCCCUCUCUCUCUCUCUCUGUCACACUCUCUCUCCUGUUUUAAUACAUAACAGUGAGUGCUUUCCAGUGGUGUGAUCUCAUUCUCUUCACACUCACAAACACA